UGAAAUCGUCUGCUUUCCUAGAUAAUGACUUUGGAGGAAAGCAAACACGAUUCUUGUAGCAGUGACGAGUGAAAUGAGAUCUGCCUAAAACCUUGAUAAUGGGUUGUAGGAAAGCAAUACAAGUAUAGUAUUAGGCGAAGCAACUUGAAUGUUGCAUUCUAAAUGGCAAAAAUUCAGUAGUCAAUUGCAUCACUAGCUUAUGCUUUGAUCUAAGUAGCAUGAAGCACGUGGAAUUCAUGUAAAUCAGCAAGGACGACCACCUUGCAAGGCUAAGUACUCCUGGAUGACUAAUAAUGAAGUAUUACUGUGGGAGAAGGGUGAAAAGAACCCCCUUCGCAAAGUGAAUAGAACAUGAAA
rnacentral:ncRNA from 1 species